AGUGAACGCUGGCGGUAGGCCUAACACAUGCAAGUCGAACGGCAGCACAGAGGAGCUUGCUCCUUGGGUGGCGAGUGGCGGACGGGUGAGGAAUACAUCGGAAUCUACUCUGUCGUGGGGGAUAACGUAGGGAAACUUACGCUAAUACCGCAUACGACCUACGGGUGAAAGCAAGGGAUCUUCGGACCUUGCGCGAUUGAAUGAGCCGAUGUCGGAUUAGCUGGUUGGCGGGGUAAAGGCCCACCAAGGCGACGAUCCGUAGCUGGUCUGAGAGGAUGAUCAGCCACACUGGAACUGAGACACGGUCCAGACUUCUACGGGAGGCAGCAGUGGGGAAUAUUGGACAAUGGGCGCAAGCCUGAUCCAGCCAUACCGCGUGGGUGAAGAAGGCCUUCGGGUUGUAAAGCCCUUUUGUUGGGAAAGAAAUCCAGCUGGCUAAUACCCGGUUGGGAUGACGGUACCCAAAGAAUAAGCACCGGCUAACUUCGUGCCAGCAGCCGCGGUAA
rnacentral:rRNA from 1 species